rnacentral:rRNA from 50 species
GGGUGCGAUCAUACCAGCACUAA